UACGUAGGUGGCGAGCGUUAUCCGGAUUUAUUGGGCGUAAAGCGUGCGCAGGCGGUUUGUUAAGUCUAAAAUCAAAGCCCGAAGCUUAACUUCGGUUCGUUUUAGAAACUGGCAGGCUUGAGUGGGCGAGAAGUAUGCGGAAUGCGUGGUGUAGCGGUGAAAUGCAUAGAUAUCACGCAGAACUCCGAUUGCGAAGGCAGCAUACCGGCGCCCAACUGACGCUGAAGCACGAAAGCGUGGGUAUCGAACAGG
rnacentral:rRNA from 1 species